rnacentral:lncRNA from 1 species
CUUUCCCAGGCCAAGUAUCCCCUACCCUUUCCACAGCCCCUGAGCCCUCACAGCCUCAGCCAGUGAAACAGCUUCCCCCAAGCGCUGGGUCCUGCUCUGAUUGGCCCACAGCUCUUGGAGGCUCCCACUUCCAGGCUCUAGAGCCUCAUGGGGACUCUGCCACUGUCCCAGAGGCAUUGCCCUCUUGGGAAUGAAAGCCUGAAGGUAGAAGGCUGAGGCUUUGGCUGGGAAAUGCCCUGUCUGGAGUGAGAAGAUGUCCUUGGGCCUCUGAAGUAGCUCUGCCUCCUUGAAAGCAAGAGCCUGUCAUGCCUCUAUGGAGGGCUGGCUUGUCCUUACCCAUGGCCAGAGAACCAGUCAGUAACAAAUGUCCUCUGUGUCUUCAGCCUUGAGGAAGGUGACACCCCUGUCUCAUGGGACCCUGGCAGGUACUGGGAAGCUGGAAGGAAGGAGUAGCUGUUGGAAUGAAGUAGCUGAUAGAGAGGGUAGCUUGCAGGGGGAGACUCUAGCAUGGGUUCAAAGAUGGAAUGGGGCAUAACUCAGCAAAAUUAUGCUCUAAGGAGUAUCUGACCAGGCAGUAGCUGGUUAAACAGGGAUUAGCUCCCAUUUCCACAGUCG